rnacentral:rRNA from 1 species
ACGCAUGUGGUUUAAUUCGAAGCAACGCGAAGAACCUUACCAGGCUUGACAUCCCUCUGACAGUCCCUUAACCGGGACCUUCUUCGGACAGAGGAGACAGGUGCUGCAUGGCUGUUGUCAGCUCGUGUCGUGAGAUGUUGGGUUAAGUCCCGCAACGAGCGCAACCCUUAUCUUUAAUUGCCAGCAUUCAGUUGGGCACUUUAAAGAGACUGCCGGUGUUAAACCGGAGGAAGGUGGGAUGACGUCAAGUCCUCAUGGCCUUUAUGCUUAGGGCUACACACGUGCUACAAUGGGUGGUACAAAGAGAAGCCAACUCGCGAGAGCGCGCCAAUCUCAAAAAGCCAUCCUCAGUUCGGAUUGGAGUCUGCAACUCGACUCCAUGAAGUUGGAAUCGCUAGUAAUCGCGGAUCAGCAUGCCGCGGUCGAAUACGUUCCCGGGCCUU